rnacentral:tRNA from 1 species
GCGCACAUGGCGGAAUGGUAGACGCGCCAGCUUGAGGGGCUGGUGGGGACUUAUCCCCGUGGAAGUUCGAGUCUUCUUGUGCGCA